AGAACGAACGCUGGCGGCAUGCCUAAUACAUGCAAGUCGAACGAACUCUUCGGAGUUAGUGGCGUACGGGUGCGUAACGCGUGGGAAUCUGCCCCUUGGUUCGGAAUAACAGUUGGAAACGACUGCUAAUACCGGAUGAUGACGAAAGUCCAAAGAUUUAUCGCCAAGGGAUGAGCCCGCGUAGGAUUAGCUAGUUGGUGAGGUAAAGGCUCACCAAGGCAACGAUCCUUAGCUGGUCUGAGAGGAUGAUCAGCCACACUGGGACUGAGACACGGCCCAGACUCCUACGGGAGCAGCAGUAGGGAAUA
rnacentral:rRNA from 1 species